rnacentral:sRNA from 1 species
GGCUGCUAUGGAUGAAGAACAGAGAGAAAUUCUUCUUUGCUUUGACCCUCAGUGGUUCCCAGAAAUUGCUCAAGGGAUCCCUCAAGGUCCUGGUGAUCCGGCUUCGGGACAGCCUGAUCAAGAUGGGGGAGGAGCUUUCACAGGCGGCCACCUCCGAGUCCCAGCAGCGGGAGAGCAGCCAGUACUACCAGCGGCGCCUGGAGGAGCUGAAGGCCGACAUGGAAGAGCUGGUGCAGCGGGAGGCGGAGGCCAGCCGGCGGUGUAUGGAGCUGAUGGUUAAACUGAGGCUCAGGGAGGUGCUGUGCCCAAGGUCACAGGGCAGCUGGAGAAGGGGGAACGUCAGGAAAGGAGAAAGUCAAGAAUGGAAAGAGGCAGAAAUUAGACUCCCUACCCUUGUAGGAAAAAAACCAAUAGCGGUUCCAGCAAAAUCCAAUCCCAACCUUCCUGAGACCCAGAGGCGACUUCACAGCAGAAUCUAAUUCUGAGUGGAAUUGAAGGCCUUGCUGCAGACUGUGUACUUUUAAUCAUGUUUAAAUAAAACAUGGGACCAUG